rnacentral:rRNA from 1 species
CACGUAGGGCGCAAGCGUUGUCCGGAAUUAUUGGGCGUAAAGAGCUCGUAGGCGGUCUGUUGCGUCCGCUGUGAAAACCCGGGGCUUAACCCCUGGCUUGCAGUGGAUACGGGCAGACUAGAGGCAGGUAGGGGAGAAUGGAAUUCCCGGUGUAGCGGUGAAAUGCGCAGAUAUCGGGAGGAACACCGGUGGCGAAGGCGGUUCUCUGGGCCUGACCUGACGCUGAGGAGCGAAAGCGUGGGGAGCGAACAGG